rnacentral:rRNA from 1 species
CACCAGACUCCUACGGGAGGCAGCAGUGGGGAAUAUUGCACAAUGGGGGAAACCCUGAUGCAGCGACGCCGCGUGAGCGAUGAAGUAUUUCGGUAUGUAAAGCUCUCUCAGCAGGGAAGAAAAUGACGGUACCUGACUAAGAAGCCCCGGCUAACUACGUGCCAGCAGCCGCGGUAAUACGUAGGGGGCAAGCGUUAUCCGGAUUUACUGGGUGUAAAGGGAGCGUAGACGGCUGUGCAAGCCAGAUGUGAAAGCCCGGGGCUCAACCCCGGGACUGCAUUUGGAACUGUGUGGCUGGAGUGUCGGAGAGGCAGGCGGAAUUCCUAGUGUAGCGGUGAAAUGCGUAGAUAUCAGGAGGAACACCGGUGGCGAAGGCGGCCUGCUGGACUGCGACUGACGUUGAGGCCCGAAAGCGUGGGGAGCAAACAGGAUUAGAUACCCGCGUA